UUCGGUUUAGUCAGCAUGCUUGACAGUUGCCCCACGAGUUCCUUGGUACUCGAACUCGUGUGGAGCGAGUAAUGCUGAUAAAGGUGGACUACGGUUCCCUGAAUCCUGCGAGUUGCGGCUCGAAUUGACCUCGUGUCACUGAGACCUGCGAAUAUGUGUCACCCAUGGUGAUGUAUAGUUAUAUACAUGCAUUGAUUUCAGAAAUAAAGAAAAUAAGCUAGUUGUAUAACUGUUUUUACAGUGGGGUUAGUAUGUUCAUAUAGUAUUUUCUAAACUUUGUUUUUGGGUCCACUCACUCUUCUUAUUGUUUUGCGCCCCCAGGCAGUAGACGUGCACAGGAAUCCACCACUGGGCCACUUCCCAUCUUCCGC
rnacentral:lncRNA from 1 species